rnacentral:rRNA from 1 species
AUUGAACGCUGGCGGCAGGCCUAACACAUGCAAGUCGAGCGGAUGAAGGGAGCUUGCUCCUGGAUUCAGCGGCGGACGGGUGAGUAAUGCCUAGGAAUCUGCCUGGUAUUGGGGGAUAACGUCCGGAAACGGGCGCUAAUACUUCAUACGUCCUGAUGGAGAAAGUGGGGGAUCUUCGGACCUCACGCUAUCAUAUGAGCCUAGGUCGUAUUAGCUAGUUGGUGGGGUAAAGGCCUACCAAGGCGACGAUCCGUAACUGGUCUGAGAGGAUGAUCAGUCACACUGGAACGGAGACACGGUCCAGACUACUACGGGAGGCAGCAGUGGGGAAUAUUGGACAAUGGGCGAAAGCAUGAUCCAGCCAUGCCGCGUGUGUGAAGAAGGUCUUCGGAUUGUAAAGCACUUUAAGUUGGGAGGAAGGGAAGUAAGUUAAUACCUUGCUGUUUUGACGUUACCAAAAGAAUAAGCACCGGCUAACUUCGUG